UAGGAAACCUUCGGAGUUCAAUAGCUAACAACCAAGUUGACAAACAAAGCAUGGAUUUUCAAUUACCCAGACUGCAACGAGUCUGCAGUGAGUCCUUCGGUCUGCAUGUGAAUAUGGCACAAAAAUGACCAAUGCAUCUUCUUGGUGCCUCUGUUUUGACAUUUGUUAUCCUGCCUCUUGCGUUUUCCUGUGAGAGUGUCCACAUAAGUAGUAACAAGGUCGCAGAGGAUUACCGCAACGUCAUUGAGCCACGACUUAAGCAUGUUGAAGGCAUAAUUGACCGACUCGAUUUAAACUGCACAUCAAAAACGUUACGGGAGCCAAAAAAUGCCCAGGUUAUCCUCCGAAAAAUCUGCAGAGUUAAUCGUCAGCUGAGAAAGCAAUCCGUGAUCGAAACUGUACAGGCCAUACCUCUACUACCUUCUCUUGUGGAAGAAAUAGACCAUUCUUUGCAAUGUUGGUGCCUAAAAAAGAAAAAGAAAGCAACUUCGAAGCCAUCACAAAAGUUGAAGCUUUGCAAAGUGAAGCAUAUUCUUUCCACUCUGCAGACAUACUUUGAACAAUACAAUGCGUCUCAGUAAUUCUACGGUGACCUUCAGAAGCGUGGGAAGCCUUGAAAAGAUUAAACAGGUGCUUGGCCUCCAUCCAUCCUGUUGUUCUAUAACAGUAUACGAAUAGCUGUGUGAGUUACUCUCAGGACAUAUCACCUGCAUUUCAUGCUUAAAGAGAGAUGAAACAUUUGACUGAAGGAGAACGACUUCUUUUCGUGGAGUAUGCGAUAUGAACUAACAGCUUUCAACAAGCAUGAAACAACACACUGUUUCAAAAGACAUUUUAAAACUGUUGCCGAACUUUAUAUAUUCGGAUUCAUUUUAUAUACUGGAGCAGCUCUACAGUUCUCUCUGUUUCCUGAUUAUAUACAUUUUUAACGAGGGUACAGAAUAGUUACAGAAAUUUCUAAGGGGUUUAAGUUAAUAUGACUCAUUUCUAAAAAAGUUAUUCCCGCCUAGUUACAUUUAUGACUAACUGCCAUACGCGUUUCGUAAAUUGCCUGCAGCUGCUACGAUUAACUGGGCUUAGAGAAAGAAACUGAAACUAUGAAGAGUGUAACACAUUGAAGAAACGUAAUCGACACAAGGACACAAUCUGACCUGUUUCACUUUUUUAUUUACGAAACAGUUCAAAAGUAACAACCAGUCUUUUAAUGCCAACUUUUUUCUAUCAUAGUCCAGGCAGCUUGUAUUAAUGACAUAAGCUGUCGGAGCGGUGCCACAGUAGUACAAGCAUGGUAAAGUGCACCUUGAUGCUUUAAUGCGCAUAGUUCCGAGAACUAUAAUAAGCUGUUGACCUGGACCGAUGUGAUACAGCAGCGAUUAUAAGUUUGAACUGUUGUACAGUGGUUCUGAUGUUUGUGACAUGUCAUUUCAGUUUCCUUUGAAUGUUGUUUCUACUUUCUAUGUCAAUAUAUUGGAUGAAUUGGGUCAACAGAUGCAGGGGUGAACCGUUGCUAAUGGAUUGUACACAUCUAAUAAUGUACGAAAAUGACAAUUUCUACAUAAUUUCAUAUAGAAUACUGUUAAAAACACACAAAAAAAAUAAUAAACAACUUAAAAUGUAUAAAACAUAUAAUACAAAUAUGACCUGCUCAGUUUAUCAGUUGUUUCUCAAUGUAUUUAACUUAGGAAACCUAUUAAACUUCCACAAAAAAAGUCCAUAAAUAAUUUUAUUUUAAA